CUUACUAUAAAUAAGCACGUAUUUUAAAAGCAAGGUCGUCUGCACUUUCACAUUAGUUUACUAAAUUUAGUGGAUUUUCUUCAAUUAGAUCUUUCUGCCGUUUAACAUAAACCUGAAAAUUCCAUAAGAUCACCGAGAAAAAAGGAAUUGGGGUUGGACGAAAAUCAAAAUGUGCUUUAAAAAGACAUGCGAGAAGUGUGGAAAACCAACCUGGGGAGGCUGUGGUCAGCACAUAGAACAAGCCUUAAAGGGUGUCCCAGUCGAAGAGCGCUGCAAAUGUCCACGUGAUACAAAGUCAAAGUAGGUGGAUCCCUGCUUGCUGCCUAAUAUCUCAUUCAGUUCUUGCACAUUAUUAUAGAUGAAUUGUACCACCGUGAAAGCCUUAGACGCACACAACUUCUUGAC